rnacentral:RNase_P_RNA from 1 species
GCGGAUGGCUGGAUGGCUGCUGGGGUGAUUUGCUUGCAGAUGAUCUCAGAGGAAAGUCCGGACUCCACAAAGCACGGUGCCGGGUAACACCCGGCGGGGGAAACCUCAGGGAAAGCGCCACAGAAAACAAACGACCCUCUAUAUGGGGGCCAUGGUGAAACGGUGGGGUAAGAGCCCACCGCGCGCGCGGCAACGCAAGCGGCACGGCAAGCCCCACCGGGAGCAAUGCCAAAUAGGGACCUCGCGCCGCAAGGCUGGGAUGCUUGAACCCAAGACGGUCCGGGUUGGCAGCUAGAGGAUGUCUGGUAACAGAUAUUCUAGAUGAAUGGUCAUCAAGGGCCUCGGCCCGAACAAAAUCCGGCUUAUAGGCCGUCCGCGCGC